GUGCUCACUUCAGCAGCACAUAUACUAAAAUUGAAACAAUAUAGAAGAUUAUCAUGGCCCCUGUGAAAGAAUGGCGUGCAAAUUCAUGAGGUGUUCUAUAUUAAA
ensembl:snRNA U6 U6 spliceosomal RNA